AGUACCUAGCUGCUGAAGUAACCUCUCAUCUCCUUUCUCCCUUUAUUGUUGUGUAGUUUUCUAAUCUUCGAUUCUUGCUUAUUAAGUCUUAUACUGUUAAUUCGUUGAAUAUCAGUUAGGAUUUUGUUAACUGUGAGCUGUGCGGAAUUUGGAAUUUUAACUAAUUUUUGUCCUAAAUAUCUGUUUGGUUGUUGAGAAAAUGAUCCAAAAAUCUUGUGUUGCAUGAAUUAUACUUGCUUGAGCUAUCAAAAAAUUGGUCCAAAUAUAUGUUGAAUUAGGGUUUUCAGGGGAAAAAAGAUUGUGACUUGUGAGUUCAUUUAAUCUGAUUCUGCUUUUUGCUAGCUAGCUAAAUGACAUUAGUUACUAUUCUUUUGAUUUUUUCAUAUUCUUUGAAACAAGUUGAAAUCUAUUCUCUAUGUUCUAAUAGCUAUUGUUUUGGACAUUCAG
rnacentral:misc_RNA from 1 species